CAGUCGCCGCGGGAAUACGAAGGGUGCAAGCGUUACUCGGAAUUACUGGGCGUAAAGCGUGCGUAGGUGGUGGUUUAAGUCCGUUGUGAAAGCCCUGGGCUCAACCUGGGAAUUGCAGUGGAUACUGGGUCACUAGAGUGUGGUAGAGGAUAGUGGAAUUUCCGGUGUAGCAGUGAAAUGCGUAGAGAUCGGAAGGAGCAUCUGUGGCGAAGGCGACUAUCUGGGCCAACACUGACACUGAGGCACGAAAGCGUGGGGAGCAAACAGGAUUAGAUACCCCGGUAGUCCCUGUCUCUUAUAC
rnacentral:rRNA from 1 species